GUGAAUAAGACGUGCCGCAUUCUAACGGUGAUCUAUUUACGUCCCUUGCUCUUCGAGAUCCCAGCGCCCGCGGCUCGAACAGACCUAAUUUUAUAUUCGGAGCAAAAACUCCGGCACCAUUGCCAAGUGGAGCUCUAACAAUCGCCACCACCGCGUUGCUCGCGGCCUCUUCUAAUUCUUGUGUGUUAACGCCGGCUCCUCUAACCCGGAUACCCGUCACUAUAUCGCGAAUAAUCGUACUAGGUUACGAGUAAAGCUUCUGUAUCGUGUCGUUUAAUGAAAAUUUUUAGGAUUACAGAUGCGAACUUUUCUGACUUUUUGCAAGUGAAGUGUAUUAUUAAUGUGUUUGGUGAUAGAAGAUAUUCUUUGGGCGACUGAGCUGUUUCAGUUUGAAUUAGACUCGAAGUGUUGGCAAAAUUAUAUUUGGUCGGAGUGUUCUGUUCAUUCUAGAAAAUAAAAUGUAUUCAUAUUUUAUCGGAAACGUCAUUUUUUAAUUAGUAAAAUCGUAUCAAAUAGUUCUCCGUAAUUUUACUACCCGUAUAAAUGGAAGAAUGAAAUUCUCUUAAAUAUCAGCAUCAAUUAAAAUGUUUCGCAAGUAUAAUCCAAAAAUAAGGUUAAAAAUGUAACAGAGUAACAAGUAAGUGAACAAAAUAAAUAGGUAUUUCAACUUUUCUAUGUGUAAUUUUCGAAUGAAAGUUUGCACGCAUAUUCAAGUGGGAUACUCGAGGCGAUCCCGAGCGAACAAUUUUAAAUCGGAACAUACGGAACUUUCGUGGAAAAUGUCAGGACGGAAGUCGUGAAAAUCACGGGCCGACUGCGCGGAAACCGUGGAAAUAACAGAAUUGUCGUUUUUCUAUGGCUUCUGAUCGCGCUUUCGGCCUUAAGCUUCCUUUCCCUUUUGUAACAGGAUCGGUGAAACAAAAGAACGAGGGUAAAGUUUGGCGGUAGAGACAGGAUUAAUGCCCACCGCGAGGGAAGCUUUCGAAAGCUCCGGAUCCGGAAUGGAAACGGCGACAACGAGCUACCGGGGAUUUACUCUGUGAAAGCAGAGGGAAAUGGUCGAACAACGAGCCCAUCUGCUGAUACAAUUCCAAUUGACCGUUGUUGUCUGCAUAAAAACAUAUUUGAAACAUAUGAAUUUUCGCUCUUUAAUAUAAUCUUUUAAUAAAUUUAUAUUACAAAGUGUC